UACGUAGGGGGCUAGCGUUGUCCGGAAUCAUUGGGCGUAAAGAGCGUGUAGGCGGCCCGGUAAGUCCGCUGUGAAAGUCGGGGGCUCAACCCUCGAAUGCCGGUGGAUACUGUCGGACUAGAGUCCGGAAGAGGCGAGUGGAAUUCCCGGUGUAGCGGUGAAAUGCGCAGAUAUCGGGAGGAACACCAAUGGCGAAGGCGGCUUCCUGGACCGACACUGACGCUGAGGCGCGAAAGCUAGGGGAGCAAACAGG
rnacentral:rRNA from 1 species